rnacentral:lncRNA from 1 species
GACUGGUGUCCUAGUAAGAAGAGGAAAAUGCCAUAUGGAGAGUAACACACAGGGAGAACACCAUGUGAGAAGGAGAGAUUGGAGUUAUUCAGCUAGCUGCAAGCCAAAAAAAUGCUAAGGAUUGAUGGCUACCACCAAAAGCCCAGUCUGGUGAUAUUGAAUGUGGCACCAUCCACCAUUGCCAUGGAGUAGAGUGGCACAAUCUUGGCUCACUGCAACCUCCACCUCCCGGGUUCAAGUGACCAGUUAAAGAAAAUUGCCAGGAUAUGCUGAAAACAGAGAACUUUCACAUUCAAUAAACUUCAGCUAAAUACCAGCCAUGUGCACACCAACCUCAACCCACCUGGUUCCCGCUCUACUCUGCAGUUAAGCACCAGCAAUGUGUCAGACAGAAUGCUGGAUCCUAGCGCUAAGACUCCACCAAAGCCUCAAGUUAGUGAGACACAGAUAAGGGCUGUCUGCCAUUAUCACCCCAGAGAAAAUUCCUUCCAGACUGGGAGAGAAAAUAAAAGAAACCCUCUGUGGCAGGAAGAAAACAGGGAAGGAGAAGC